UACGUAGGGUGCGAGCGUUAAUCGGAAUUACUGGGCGUAAAGCGUGCGCAGGCGGUUUCGUAAGCUGGAGGUGAAAUCCCCGGGCUUAACCUGGGAAUGGCCUUCAGGACUGCGAGGCUAGAGUGCGGCAGAGGGAGGUGGAAUUCCACGUGUAGCAGUGAAAUGCGUAGAGAUGUGGAGGAACACCGAUGGCGAAGGCAGCCUCCUGGGCCAGCACUGACGCUCAUGCACGAAAGCGUGGGGAGCAAACAGGAUUAGAUACCCUGGUAGUCCACGCCCUAAACGAUGUCAACUAGGUGUUGGGGAAGGUGACUUCCUUAGUACCGCAGCUAACGCGUGAAGUUGACCGCCUGGGGAGUACGGCCGCAAGGUUA
rnacentral:rRNA from 1 species